rnacentral:rRNA from 1 species
ACGGAGGAUGCAAGCGUUAUCCGGAAUUAUUGGGCGUAAAGCGUCCGCAGGUGGCUGGUCAAGUCUGCUGUUAAAGCGUAGAGCUUAACUCUAUAUCGGCAGUGGAAACUGGACAGCUAGAGUACGGUAGGGGUAGCGGGAAUUCCCAGUGUAGCGGUGAAAUGCGUAGAUAUUGGGAAGAACACCAGCGGCGAAAGCGCGCUACUGGGCCUGUACUGACACUGAGGGACGAAAGCUAGGGGAGCGAAAGGGA